CUCAGGUGAUCCACCUGCCUCGGCCUCUCAAAGUGCUGGGAUUACAGGCGUGAGCCACCAUGCCUGGCAUAUAUGGCAAAGUUUUAACACCAUUUUUUACUAAGAUAAGUAUCAUAAAGGACUUUGUAAAGAAUAUAUUACAACCGAUCAGGCCAGUGGCUUUUUGUUUGUUUGUUUAGCAGGAUUUGAUUGAACCUCAUCAUGCUAUAGAUCUUCCAUUCAGGGAUGAUGAUGUGGGCAUAGUUCAGUGGAGGCUGCCUGCAAUGAAACUGGGCAGAGGCAAGAAUCGAGAGAUCAGCUUUAGCCCAGCUCCCAGGAGCACCAGAGUUAAGAAGGAUAUCUCCUAGAGGGAAAGCCAGAGACCAGGCAAGGGAACAUACAUGAACACCCAGCCUGUGCUCUGGUGUGAGGUUGCAACAGGAGUAGGAUUGGUUCAAUCAGCAUAUUUUCUUUCAUGUACUAGGUUGAAAGUAUUAGUCCAUUUUAUAGAUGAAGAAAUGGAGGCCCAGAGAGAUCACGUGACUUAGCCAAGUCCACCAAAUUUGGGAUUAAGCCUUAUUUUGCAUUGGGUUUAAUCUCAACAGACACCGAGGGGCACCUGGAGUCCCUGCAAAACCUUGUCUGGUAUCAGCUACCUAUCAGAGGAUGCAGAGGACAAGGUCAGGUAGAGGCUGUUUCCAGUGAGAGGAAGGCAGGGGGAGGGCAUGGAAGGAGCACUGGAAAUGGGGUGGGAAAACCAAAGCUCCCUCCAUGCAGGGCUACUUAGGUGAGUCCCUUCCCUGUCUGGGCUCCCUUCCUUCCUUCCUUCCUUCCUUCCUUCCUUCCUUCCUUCCUUCCUUCCUUCUUUCCUUCCUUUCCUUCCUUCCUUCUUUCCUUUCUUCCUUGCUUCCUGCUCUCUCUGUUGCCCAGGCUGGAGUGCAGUAGCAUGUCCUCGCCUCACUGCAGCCUCGACCUCCUGGACUCAAGCCAUCCUCCCACCUCAGCCUCCUGAGUAGCUGGAGCUAUAGGCGUGUGCCACUACACACGGCUAACUUUUGUAUUUUUUGUAGAGAUGGGGUUUCACCAUCUUGUCCAAGCUGGUCUUGAACUCCUGGGCUCAAGCGAUCUGUCCACCUCAGCCUCCCAAAGUGCUGGGAUUACAGACAUGAGCCACCGUGCCCAGCCUGUGCCUUAGCAUUCUAUCCUAUGACUCAGAGGUAGCUGAGCUCCAUCUUCUAAAAUCAAGUGACCAUCACUGAGGCUGUCUCCUCCCCUAUAAAAUCAGGAUUGUGUUACUCAUUGUAGAAAAACCAGUAACCCCAGCAAGCAAGCUCACCCCCCUGGCUCCACAGACCUCCCCAGUCUCAUCUCUCAAGACUCCUGCCCUUCACAAGAUGCUCUGGCGCACCCCAGCCCUGUGCUCCCUCUCAUUUGGUUUCCUCUGCUUGGAUUGCCCUUCUCACCUUCUUUAGUUGGUGUCUGCUCACCUUCUAAGACUCAGCCCAGUCCUUAUCUCCUCCAGGAAGCCUUCCCCAAUCUCCCUUCCACUGGCUGGGUUAGGUGCUGUCCCUUGGGCUCCUAUCAAGUCUGGGCCAUUGCUGUCCUAAUAAUGUGGCUGAUAAUUUAUAGCUAGUCAUUAGAGUUGUAAUUUAUUGAGCCCUUACUCACAGCCUGCCCCUGAACCAGACCCUUUAUACAGCGUCACCUCAUUGAAUCUGACAAAGUAUAACUCAGCUCCUAGUUCAAAGUAAACAUCUGCCCUGCCAUUGAUCCCGCUGAGGUAACAGAAAUAAAGCCAGCUGUGGAGGUAACACGAAACAGUAGUUCUCCCAAGCAUAGGGUACAGCUAGAAAGUGCCACAACGUGCCUGCCUGCAAUGUGUGCACGUGCGUGCACACGUGUACGUGGAUAAACACGUCUGUGCACGUGUAUGUUGCUUCUCUGGCCAGGCCUGGCUGCCCCACUCAUGUGCACCCAGUUCCUCAUCACUGUCACCCCCGAGGCCCAGGGCCAGCAUCAGAGCAUCCCUGGCUGCUCCCUAACCUCAGCCCUCCCCGCCCAGGGUGGUCCUGGGAUACACAUAGGGGUGGAGGGAAGUGACUGCUGCUGCUGCUGGAUCUCAGAAUACAAAUACUAAUACUAUUACCUAAUGGUCUUUUUAGUGUCCCUAAUGGUCUUUUUAGUGUCUCUAAUUGUAUCUCUUUUUCGUUUCUGAUAUUUUAACUGGGUAUUUCUCUCCAUGACCCUUGGAUAUUCUAGCUAGAGGAUCCUGUGGGGAAAGUGCCGGGCACACAGUAGGGGCUCACUCUUCUAGACGUGUUAUCUAAAACCUGGUUCAUCUGUCCUUCCACGCAGGGCCUAGGGGAUGCCAAAUUCCAGGGUCCAGAAAGAGCUUGGGAUAAAAUGAACAUCCAAGGGGAGGGCUUUGACCUGGGCUGAGUCUGCCUGUGCCGAGUCUGCCUGUGCCAUCCAACUGGAGUCUCAAGUCCUGAGGCAGGACGUCCAGAUGCCCCAGUGCAGGGUCCUCCUGAUCAACACCUGCUCCCCUGUACUCAUUAGCAACCUCACCCACCCUACUCUCAAAGCACACUUGGCUCUCAUAUCCAGGAGCUCUGCAUCUGUAGAUUCAGCAACAGCAGAUGGAAAAUAUUCAGAAAAUAAAUUGGACAGUUAUAUUUCUAUUGAA
rnacentral:lncRNA from 1 species